CCCAAAUUUCUGAUAGAGAAACUUUCGGAAAAUGGGUCAAAUUUGACCCGAGGACAAUAGGAGGGUUAAAAAAAAAACACAAAAUUACAAACCUGAGCCAAAAGCCAAUUAAUCUGUCCAUCGGCCCCAAACUGACCAACCCCAGCGAGACCCGGCUGUGUUUUUAAGAUAAUCAAUUUUAAGUUUUACGUCCGUCAUCUUCCCCUCUUUUCAUUGGAGUGAAAAACCAAACAUUCAUGGCUGACAUUAGCACUUAACUUGGCCACAAAAUCCCCUCUUCUGCUGGAAAGAAAAUGUCUUCAGCUCAGGCACAAAAGAGCAAAAGCACAAAGUUCCCCGCCAACGUAGCGCGGAGAACAUGCAGUAAAAGGAUGCAUUUAUGAGGGAUAUGUGCAGAAAAUUAGCUUCUGUAGCACUGAGUCUACAAGAUUAGCCUGCUAGCUCAGUUUAGCUUAGCUGUUGUAUGUUGCCAUGCGCGCCCCCUUUUUGCACUAACUCCUCGAUCACCACUGAAGCACCGCUGUCUGGAACGGCAAUGUGACGUUACCGCGUCCAGAUGUUCUUGUCGUUAACUCUCUCGGAGCUUUUCGCUUUUUCACCGUCGGUCUCCGUUUUGUUUUUUUUAAAAACAAGGUUGACAUAAGUGGACGUAAAAGUAGAGCGUGUUACUUACGUCGCUGUAGGGCACACGUGUCAAACUCGAGGCCCGUGGGGCCAAAUUUGGCCCCUCGCAGAUUUUGAAUCUAGCCCGCAUUUUCAAUUUGGGUUCACAAUUAAUUUUGGCCCACCCAUUUUUUUUUUUUAACAAUGUUUUUGGCGCUUUGUCCUUUGAUGGCUAAGUUACUUCUUUAGGGCUUUAUGUGGACCAAACUAAGUCAGAAGACUGUAUGAGACAUUCAAUAAACUCUACAUGUCUGGCCCUGGAUGUGAUUCUUAUCUCCCAGUGUGGCCCUUAGUUUGACCCCCCUGCUUUAAACAGUAAUCACACUAGUUGCAGAUUAAUUUUACCGUCGUUGUACUAAUUGAUUAAUCAACUAAUCGUUACAUCUCGAAACUAAACCUACUAUGAAUUUAAGUAGUUUUUAAGAAAAGCAGAAAUUAAAACGGCUUGAAUUUUAAGUUCCUAACCGUCAACACGGUUCCUGUUAUGAUUCAAACCCUUCGGAAAGAUUUCCUCCUUUUCACGGUAACGUCACAUUGCUGUCGUUUAUUUCUUACUUUCUGCUUAACUGUUGUUUUCCAUCCUGUGAUCACAGUGACUUACUGUGAUUGUACGAAAAAAACAGUUUUUGUGUCGACGCUCGCACAUUAAGGUGUGAAUACAGGUGUGUGUGUGUGUGUGUGUGUGUGUGUUUGUGUGUGUCUCCCCGCGUCCUGUGACAACGAGGGCUUCAGGUCGUUUAAAGGGACGUCGAAAAAAGAAUUAUGACUGUUAAAAACGAUACCUGUUGCAUGAUGGGAAAGUGAGUUUUAGUCCUUCAUGUCCUUUUGCAAUGAAGUGGGUUAAGUUUAUCAUUUAAAGGAGCACUAAACGAUGCUAAUGUGUCAGUCUUUUUACGUAAAGUGCCAAUAUGAGAAGAAAAAAACGUCCCGACUAAAAAUGUCUCGGUCUCCCUUUAACCGCCGAGCCUCAGCCCUUUUCAGACAGAACUGAAACAAAUGAAAAGUUGCACUGUUAGGAAGUUAAAAUUAAGAGAAAGUAUGUGUAUGUUAUGAGUUUAUUGUUAUAUGCAUUGAGAAAAUACAUUAAGUAUUUCUGUAACUUUCUGCUUCGUGCUUGCACUCGAGAUUUAUUUUUGAUUGGUCAGAAUAAUAAUCUUUGUUUAAAUUGUUCAUCAGAGGAUCUAGCAGUAUAAAUAAAGACUGUUAUAUUAAAGUUGCAGUAACUGGAGGGAUUCAGAGAGAUUAAACUUAGACGUUUAAAGCAACAUUUCACUUGAUAGGCGACGGCAACGGUAGGUACUUCUGUAAAGGCUUCGGUAUGCCUCAAAUAAACUAUCUUAAAGACUAAAGGUAUCAGCAUUGGUGGGAACUCAAGUCAUGACUGGUGACUUCACUUGGACUUGAUGUCUCUUGACGCUGGACUUCUUCUUGACUUGGGACCUGUUGGGUUUGACCGGGGACUUUUAUGUAGAACAUGGUUUGACUGUGGACAUUAUGGGCUUUACUUUGGACUUUUUUGGGGGGGAAUUUCUGCCUUCAUUGGAUAUGAAAGCUGAGAUAUGAAACGGGAGAGAGGGGGAAGACAUGCAGGAAAACCGUCACAGGUCGGACUCGAACCCUGGUCCUUCUGCGUCGAGGAACAAACCUCCGCACGUGUGCGCCCGCUCCACCAACCGAGCCAACUGGCCACUACUUUGGACUUGUUUUUUACUUGGGAACUGUUGGUUUUGCCCCAGGACUUUGACACAGCACUUGUUGGUCUUGGCUCCGGAAAA